rnacentral:rRNA from 1 species
UACUCCUACGGGAGGCAGCAGUGGGGAAUCUUCCGCAAUGGGCGCAAGCCUGACGGAGCAACGCCGCGUGAGUGAAGAAGGUCUUCGGAUCGUAAAGCUCUGUUGACGGGGACGAACGUGCGGAGUGCGAAUAGCGCUUUGUAAUGACGGUACCUGUCGAGGAAGCCACGGCUAACUACGUGCCAGCAGCCGCGGUAAUACGUAGGUGGCGAGCGUUGUCCGGAAUCAUUGGGCGUAAAGGGAGCGCAGGCGGGCCGGUAAGUCUUACUUAAAAGUGCGGGGCUCAACCCCGUGAUGGGAGAGAAACUAUCGGUCUUGAGUACAGGAGAGGAAAGCGGAAUUCCCAGUGUAGCGGUGAAAUGCGUAGAUAUUGGGAAGAACACCAGUGGCGAAGGCGGCUUUCUGGACUGCAACUGACGCUGAGGCUCGAAAGCCAGGGGAGCGAACGGGAUUAGAUACCCCGGUAGUCCUGGCCGUAAACGAUGGAUACUAGGUGUGGGAGGUAUCGACCCCUACCGUGCCGGAGUUAACGCAAUAAGUAUCCCGCCUGGGGAGUACGGCCGCAAGGCUGAAACUCAAAGGAAUUGACGGA